rnacentral:rRNA from 1 species
AUGUGCGGUUGGGCAGUUCGAUCAUACGUUGAUCCACUAGCAAGCAGCGCCUGGCAGGCAGGCAUGGCAAUCGAUGCCGGAAAAUGGUGCCACAAGGACCUGGGCAUGCAGAGCUGUGCUGCUUUCUCGUGUUGCGCCGGCAGGCAAUGGCAUGCUUUCGUUGCGCGACGGAUGAAGUCACACGAUGACCACGGCGAUCAUUUCCGUGCUCGCGGGCCGCUGGCUUUGGGCAGCUCCGCCGCUGGCGCCCUUGGCGGGCGCGCCCUCGAUGACCGGCUGCCGGCAGGUGGGGCAGGAGCCGUGGGACACGAGCCAGGCGUCGACGCAGCGGACGUGGAACCCGUGCGCGCACCGCGGCAGCACGCGCACCUUCUCGCCGUCCACGAACUCGCCGAGGCAGAUGGCGCACACGUCGUCGAUCACCUCCCCGGACCCGUACACCUCCACGGGGAGGCUCCUGAGCACGCGCCUCUUGAUGCCGCUGCCUCCGCGGCCGGCACCCCGCGCCGUUGCCCCGCCCUCGCCGGCCGCGGAGCCGCGGCCCACGUACCGGAGCGCGCACCGCGCCAGCGAGUUGAGCCCGAUGGCGAAGAGCAGCGCGAAGAAGAGCGCGGCGAGGAUGAUCACCACGUUGGUGUCGAAGGGCGAGUCCGGCGCCGCCGGCGGCGCCGCGGCAUCGCCUUUUCCGUGGGCGUGGUCGCGGAGAGCAGCCAGCCCCGCGGCGGCGAUGCUCGACGUCGGCGCCUCCGAGUCAGGACGGCCCAUGGUUGA